GCUUUCCGUGGCUCAGUCGGGAGAACAACCGACUUUGGUGCGGUAGAACUCGGGUUCGAUCCCCGGUAAAGGUA